GGCUCCCUCCCAGCGCGCCGGCCGGGGUGUGGGGGGCGGCGGGCCGGAGGGGCGAGGGCGGGCGAGGGGGCGCGCACGGGGGUUGGCGCGGAAGACAGGACCCUCAGCCUCGAGGGAGUCCCUCGGUGACCAGGCAAAAAACAGUUCCCUCCAGCUGGUCCUCAGAUGGGCACAUCUAUUAGCCUCUGCUCUUGUAAGAAGUUAGCUGCAGAACCCACAUGUGAAUCCUUGUAGGACUGUGGAGAAGAUCAAAUGGGAGCUUGGAUGUGGAAGCUCUUUGGCAACCAAGAAACACUCUGCAAAUGAAAAGGGUCAGGAAAGCCUGAACUUUCUCAUCCAACACCUGUUCAAGUCGGAGGAUGCUGAUUAAUUCAUGAUGGAAAGGUAUCAAUUUUCACAGACCAGACCUCUACAUUCUUGAAAUGCUCUUCUCAUGGGAAACAUUAAAUAAGCUUUGAAUUAACUGUGAUAAAGACCUCAAGUAUGAGUUUCAUCUCAUCUUUGAAUUCUUCAGAUCACCUGCUUAUAUUAGGUCAGAUGUUUGCUGAAUUCAGUUCUGAGCUUUUGAACCAAAAGCAGAUCUUCAGAACAAGAAAGAAGAUAAUAAAAGAGAAACACGAAGAAACUGAAGAUGAUUGGAGAAAUACAAAUCAAGAUGAUUAGACCUAGCAGAGGGCUGGCUGGAUGGCAUUUAUGUUGACGAUGGACUCCUACACAGAGAAUGAUCAUGGUCUAGGACGUAAUAGUGAUGCAAUCAUCAUUUCUUAAAUGAGUUUUUAAAACAAGUGAAUGAAUGACCAAUUACAUAUCUUCCCUGAGCCAAUAAAAUAUAUUAAAAGUA